rnacentral:rRNA from 1 species
GACGAACGCUGGCGGCGUGCCUAAUACAUGCAAGUCGAACGCAGUGGGGACGGGUGCGUAACACGUGGGUAACCUCCCAUCAGAGGGGAUAACACUUGGCAACAGGUGCUAAACCGAUACUGAUGGAUGAACCCGCGGUGCAGUAGCUAGUUGUUGAGGUAACGGCUCACCAAGGCCACGAUGAAUAGCCGACCUGAGAGGGUGAUCGGCCAAACUGGGACUGAGACACGGCCCAGACUCCUACGGGAGGCAGCAGUAGGGAAUAUUCGGAAAUGGACGAAAGUCUGACAGAGCAACGCCGAGUGAGUGAAGAAGGGUUUCGGAUCGUAAAACUCUGUUGUUAGAGAAGCGGUAUCUAACCAGAAAGCCACGGCUAACUACGUGCCAGCAGCCGCGGUAAUAC